CAGGAAGAAGGCCUUCUGGGUUGUAAACUGCUUUUGCCGGGGGAUAAAAGACCCCUGCGGGGGAAAUUGAAGGUACCUGGUGAAUAAGCCACGGCUAACUACGUGC
rnacentral:rRNA from 1 species